rnacentral:rRNA from 1 species
AGCAGUAGCCACGGUAAUACAGAGGGUGCGAGCGUUAAUCGGAUUUACUGGGCGUAAAGCGUGCGUAGGCGGCUUCUUAAGUCGGAUGUGAAAUCCCUGAGCUUAACUUAGGAAUUGCAUUCGAUACUGGGAAGCUAGAGUAUGGGAGAGGAUGGUAGAAUUCCAGGUGUAGCGGUGAAAUGCGUAGAGAUCUGGAGGAAUACCGAUGGCGAAGGCAGCCAUCUGGCCUAAUACUGACGCUGAGGUACGAAAGCAUGGGGAGCAAACAGGAUUAGAGACCCGCGUAGUCCCUGUCUCUUAUAA